rnacentral:rRNA from 1 species
AUUGAACGCUGGCGGCAUGCCUUACACAUGCAAGUCGAACGGUAACGGGCCUUCGGGCGCCGACGAGUGGCGCACGGGUGAGUAAUACAUCGGAACGUGCCCGAUCGUGGGGGAUAACGAGGCGAAAGCUUUGCUAAUACCGCAUACGAUCUACGGAUGAAAGCCGGGGACCGCAAGGCCUUGCGCGGGCGGAGCGGCCGCUGGCAGAUUAGGUAGUUGGUGGGAUAAAAGCUUACCAAGCCGACGAUCUGUAGCUGGUCUGAGAGGAUGAUCAGCCACACUGGGACUGAGACACGGCCCAGACUCCUACGGGAGGCAGCAGUGGGGAAUUUUGGACAAUGGGCGCAAGCCUGAUCCAGCCAUGCCGCGUGAAGGAUGAAGGCCUUCGGGUUGUAAACUGCUUUUGUACGGAACGAAAAGCCUUCUUUUAAUACAGGAGGGUCAUGACGGUACCGUAAGAAUAAGCACCGGCUAACUACGUG